rnacentral:tRNA from 1 species
AUUUAUAUAGUUUAAUUAAAACAUUACCUUUUCAUUGUAAAAUUAGAAUAAUCUUAUAAAUA